rnacentral:miRNA from 1 species
GCAAACACAUUCCAGCCAAACAGCAGCAGACCCUCCCUCCCAGACCCUCCCACCUCCUGGACAGCAUCCAUUUUACAUUCUUAGUGAGCUGUUCAGGAGGUGGGAGGGUCUGGGAGGGAGGGUCUGCUGCUGAUUGGCUGGAAUGUGUCUG